rnacentral:lncRNA from 1 species
UUGCAUUGCAGCGAGAGAGGCAAAGGGAGGGAGAAGUUAAACAAUGUGAGAUGUAAAUCAAGUGCAUGGUUAAAGUCUGGGUGGAGAUGGAAGGUGUGAUUGCGAGCUAGAUGCACCAUUGAAAAAUGUGGUGAGCCUGGGCUCGGGAGGAAGAGAGGCAAAGAUAAUGGGUGGAGGAAGAAAAGGAAAAGAGUAAUUUAACGGUAAAAAAGACAACAUUCGCUGAUGUACAUGAGGAAACUAAAGGUACUCCACUUGUUCUAAAUUAAUGUUUUCUUUCUCACGAAUCAAUGUGGAACUGUGUACUGACAUUCCUCCUUAUCUGGAAUCUCCAUUUGCACCAUCUAGAAGAAAAUUUAAGGAAGAGACUAAAAGGCACAUACAUGAGUAGCCUCAUUCUUGUCUUAGAAAGUUGGUUCUUAUAUGUCUUAGAAAGUUGGUUCUUAUAUAUAUGUCUUGGAUUAAAAAGAGCAUGAGAACUUGCCAAGCCAUCUGAAAAUGCCAUCAUAGCCAAAACUUUUUUUAGGUUGCUGACAACAUUGAGCUGGACUUGCUUUUUUUGCUACUAUUGCUGAAGACAAACUCCAAAAAAGGGAGUGAAAGCAGAAAGAAGAGAGGUUGCACAAGAUGAGUAAUGAUGGGUAGCGAUAGAGGCUGAAGCUGUGAUGAUGAUGCGGAUAUGACCAUUAGUAUGUUUCCCAUCAAGGAAACCUACAAUUUCUAUUAUGAUACAAAUUUUCUAUUAUGAGGUGUGUUUCUCAUAAAGAAUGUGAUUUCUGCAUGAUAGUUUUCUAAAAACGUGAAGGUUUUAUGCAAAGACUGACAUUUUAGAAGGAUGUAGUAAAAUGUAAACCUUGGUAGGUACUCCUGAAGUUGAAGCUGCUCAAGCAAUAGUAAUUUGUUUUUCCGAGCACUGAACUACUAUUUCUGGUUUUGCUUAUUGUUAUUCCUCGUAGGAUGUUCAAGAGGAACACCCUUUAAAUUGUGUACUUGUCAUAGCUUCAGGUCCACUUGUGAGCCCUUAUGCAAUUUUGCUUAAGUUAGAUUAGGAUGGGUUCCUUUGACCUUAUGGUCAUGUAUAUAACAACGAGGACCUAUUACAUAUCCUUUUUUCCCUCAGAAAUCUUUAGGUACAACUGCAUGGUCACGUG